UAAAAAAAAAAAAAAAAAACCCUUCAAGCCUCAACUAAUAAAAGUGUGAAACCAAAUUGUACUUUUUUGUACUUCUCCUAGCUUUGAAUGGGGUAGGGUUUAUCUGUUUCCAUUGACCAAAGAAUUCUUUUCUUGUCUUCAUCACGAUCUGCGCCGUGAAUAACUAAAUUUACUGAGCAUGCAUCUGGUAAUAAUUGGUCGUCCUUGUAUCCAGGGGAGAGAUCGUGCAGCAGCAGUGGCUGCAUUGUCUUAACUUUUUUUUUUAAAUAUCAGAGAAAAAAAAGAGAAAUGCCUCACAAAAGCAUAUGUUAGAGAUAGUAUUCAUGAGGCUUAUCUCACUUGGUUAUAAUAAACUUAUCUUUUGGCUAUUUUAGAUCAAUGACCUUUAUCUCUUCCCAAAAGGAAAAAUUGAUGUACCAUCUACUUAGGCAUACAUAAUACUUCUUUUCUUGGUGGGACAAGCAGAGACGAACAAUAUUGACUCAUUGUGACCUGAGGCUUUUGACACUGAAGUCAUAAUUUGGCUCCGACUUCACCAACUACACCUUACUUUGUCCUCCUAUGAAUAAUAUACUAUUAUCAAAUCGAACUGAAGAACCAUACGGAACUGAUAGGAAUCGUACCAAAUCGGAACCGAAACGAGAACUAAAUUUAUACAUAUGUUUUUCUUUUUU
rnacentral:misc_RNA from 1 species